rnacentral:misc_RNA from 1 species
AAGUCGUAACAAGGUCUCCGUAGGUGAACCUGCGGAGGGAUCAUUACUGAGUGAGGGCUCACGCCCGACCUCCAACCCCAUGUGAACCGUAACUGUUGCUUCGGGGCGACCCUGCCGUCCGCGGCGGCGCGCCCCGGAGGCUAUCAAACACUGCAUCAAUGCGUCGGAGUAUCAAUCAAAUUGAGCAAA